rnacentral:rRNA from 1 species
UGGGGAAUUUUCCGCAAUGGGCGAAAGCCUGACGGAGCAAUACCGCGUGAGUGAUGAAGGCCUUAGGGUUGUAAAGCUCUUUUACCAGGGAUGAUAAUGACAGUACCUGGAGAAUAAGCUCCGGCUAACUCCGUGCCAGCAGCCGCGGUAAUACGGAGGGAGCUAGCGUUGUUCGGAAUUACUGGGCGUAAAGCGCGCGUAGGCGGUUUUUCAAGUCAGGGGUGAAAUCCCGGAGCUCAACUCCGGAACUGCCCUUGAAACUGGAUGACUAGAAUCCUGGAGAGGCGAGUGGAAUUCCGAGUGUAGAGGUGAAAUUCGUAGAUAUUCGGAAGAACACCAGUGGCGAAGGCGACUCGCUGGACAGGUAUUGACGCUGAGGUGCGAAAGCGUGGGGAGCAAACAGGAUUAGAUACCCCCGUAGUCC